UCCAACCAUGAGGAGUGUGUGUGUGCUGCUGCUGCUGGCUGUUGGACACAGUGUGAAGUGUGAGACACUGACACAGCCAGCCUCUGUGACUGUGCAGCCAGGACACACUCUCACUAUCCCCUGUACUGUCUCAUAUGAUGUUAGCAGUUAUGUUACACACUGGGUGAGACAGCCUGCUGGGAAAGGCCUGGAGUGGAUUGGAGAACACUGUGGAUCUGGAUGCACCAUGUUCAUCAAAGAUUCACUGAAGAACAAGUUCAGUAUAAAUGUAGAUUCCUCCAGUAACAGAGUGACUCUGAAUGGACAGAACAUGCAGCCUGGAGACACUGCAGUGUACUACUGUGCCAGGCAGCCACAGUCACUCAAAUCUGACCAUGAUGAACACACUGGUCCUCCUGAUGGGGGCGCUCUCCCUGCCCUGUGUGAGUUUGCCAGAUCCUCCAGUCCAUUCCCUCUUCUCCAGUGCUCAAAACUCCUCAGGAGUCUGUCAGUUUUUCCUGCAGUGGAUCUGGGUUUAACUUUGGUGGCUACGGGAUGA